AAACUAAAUUAUAUAUUUAUACAUUAUAAUCUCUUCGUCUCUUCAGCCACAGUUUUCUCUCUCUCUAAAACACAUUUUCUCUCACUCAUCUAGGUCGUAAGAAAUACGGAGAUCGGAGAAUUGACGCGUUGUCCUUGGAAUUGAAUUAAGGAAUUAGGGUUUCUGAGGAUUUUAAGGCGAUCGAGGGAGAAAUUGGGAUUUCUAGGGUUUCAAGGGGAUUGGAGAAAUUGGGGAUUUUGCUAGGGUUUUGGUGAAGUAAAUUGAUAUUGCUCUCAAUUGACUGGUGAUUGGAUUGGAUUGGAUAGGAUAAUUGAUGUUUGAGGCUGGGCUGGUUAUAGGAGGUGCUGAAGAUGCCAGUCGAAUUGUAUUAUGCUGCAUGGGAAGGGACAAAGGGAAAGUGAGGUUUGUCGACGCUCGACGACUGGUGGUCAGCACAUGCCGGCGACGACCACGACCACUGUAGCCGCCGCUCAUUCUUCUGUUGUUUCUUCUAUUACCUCUGAUUCGUUCUGCAAGGAUGGUCGCAAAGUUAUUGUGGGCGAUUGUGCUUUGUUCAAACCACCACACGAUUCCCCACCUUUCAUUGGAAUAAUCCGAAGGCUUACAUUGAGUAAAGAUAAUAACCUGCAGUUAGGUGUUAAUUGGCUUUAUCGACCUGCUGAGCUGAAGCUUAGCAAGGGCAUCCUUCCGGAGGCCGCACCCAACGAAAUCUUUUAUUCCUUUCAUAGGGAUGAGAUUCCUGCUGCAUCACUACUGCAUCCGUGUAAAGUUGCAUUCCUUUCUAAAGGUGCUGAACUUCCAACAGGGAUAUCCUCAUUUAUCUGCCGGCGUGUUUAUGACAUUUCAAACAAGUGUUUAUGGUGGUUAACUGACCAAGAUUACAUCAAAGAGCUACAAGAAGAAGUAGACCAACUAUUAAACAAGACACGAGUAGAGAUGCAUGCAACAGUGCAACCGGGUGGUCGCUCUCCGAAACCAAUGAAUGGUUCUAUGUCAACAUCACAAUUGAAGCCGGGUUCAGAUAAUGUACAAAGCAGUGUAGCUUCUUUUCCUUCACACGUCAAGGGAAAGAAGAGGGAGCGGGGAGAUCAGGGCUCCGAGUCAAUUAAACGUGAACGUUCAAUCAAGACAGAUGAUAUAGAUUCUGGUCAAAUCAAAGCUGAAAGUGUACUAAAAUCUGAAAUUUCUAAAAUUACAGACAAAGGAGGGCUUGUAAACUCUGAAGGGGUUGAGAAGCUAGUUCAGCUCAUGCAGCCAGAUAGAAUGGAUAGGAAAAUGGAUUUGAUCAGUCGUUCGAUGCUUGCAAGUGUUGUAGCGGCAACUGACAAUUUUGACUGUCUUACUAGGUUUGUACAGUUAAGAGGUCUGCCUGUGUUAGACGAGUGGCUUCAAGAUGUUCAUAAGGGGCGGAUUGGUGAAUAUAGCAACACAAAAGAUAGUGACAAAUCGGUUGAAGAAUUUCUCUUCAUUUUGCUUCGUGCUCUUGAUAAGCUUCCUGUGAACCUUCAAGCGCUGCAGAUGUGCAAUAUUGGCAAGUCUGUUAAUCACUUGCGGCAGCAUAAAAACACGGAAAUACAGAGGAAGGCGCGAAGUUUAGUUGACACGUGGAAGAAACGGGUUGAAGCUGAGAUGAACAUCAUUGAUGCCAAGUCUGGUUCAAAUCAGGCUGUCACGUGGCCUUCUAAAUCAAGAUUGCCCGAGGCUUCUCAUAAUGUUGGCAAAAAUCCUGGUGGUUCAAAUGAUGCGACAAAGGGUGCACUUGCACAGCUUUCUGCAUCUAAAAUGGCCUCGAUAAAGCCUUCACAAGGGGAAACUACUACAAAGUCUGCGUCCUUGUCCCCGGGCUCAACAAAACCAGCAUCAUCACCUGCAUCUGGAAAGGAGGGUCAGCCCAGAGUUUCAGUUGGUGGAUCCUGUGAUGUUCCUUUAGCAAGGGAAGACAAGAGCAGCAGUUCUAGCCAGUCUCACAACCACAGUCAGUCGUUCUCGGGGAAGGAGGACGGGAGAAGUUCGACCGCAGUGUCAAUGAACAGCAUCAAGAUCUCCACGGGCGGUUCUCGUCACCGUAAGUCAAUUAAUGGAUAUCCUGGAUCAUCAGUAUCUGGAAGCCAAAAGGAGAGUGCUGCAGGCAGAAGUUCACAUAGGAAUCCUACCUCAGAAAAGCUACCGCAGUCUGCAUUGAGUGGUGAGAAAGCUGUUGAUGUGCCAGUUCUCGAGGGGAGUGGUCACAACCACAAAUUGAUAGUUAAGAUAUCUAACAGGGGACGCAGUCCUGCACAGAGUGCCAGUGCAGGAUCCUAUGAGGACCCUACGAACAUGAGCAGCCGAGCUUCUUCUCCUGUGCUUUCUGAAAAGAAUGAUCAAUUUGACCGAACAUUAAAAGAAAAUGCGAAAGCUGAAUCGUGGCAGAGCAAUGAUUUCAAAGAUGUACUAACCGGUUCUGAAGACGGUGAUGGAUCACCAGCUACUGGUCCGGAGGAAGAGCGAAGCAAGAUUGUUGAUGAGGGCAGGAAAUCAGCAGAAGCUAGAGCUGCUUGUACAUCAGGGAUCGAACUGAAGUCUGGAAAACUGCACGAAGCUUCUUUUAGCUCCAUGAAUGCUUUGAUUGAGAGCUGUGUAAAAUAUUCUGAAGCAAACGUGCCUAUGUUAUUGGCUGAUGCUAUUGGAAUGAAUCUUCUUGCCAAUGUGGCUGCUGAAGAAAUGUCCAAGUCUGACAUGGUUUCACCUUCUGUUUCUCCGCAAAGAAAUACCCCUGCUGCUGAAGAUGCUUGCACAGGUGAUGAUGUCAAGUCAAAGUCACCUCUGGCUGAUAUCUCCACUGGUGACCGUAGAAAUGAUGAUGAUGGUGAUAGAGAGAAACUGGUUGUUAGUGCUAGUACUUCAUGGUCGGAGAAUAAACUGCAUCCAUCCAAGGGUGCUGCUACAGAGUUCUCUGGAGAUAGAAAGGCCUCUUUUUUACCUCCUGAAGAGACAAUGACAGGAGGAUACAACAAACAGUUCAACUCUCCCUGCAUUGAUUCACAGCCGGCUGGAGUGAAGUUGGAGAUCACUGAGAAGUCAGGUGAGAUGGAAAAGGCUGCUUCUUCACCUCAUAGUCUAUCUGAGAAGGUAAUUGAUUGUGAUAUAAGCAAACAAUCCCAGGAGGAGAAGGUGGUGUCCCGUGAGGUCAAGGUUGUUGGUGCUCUAGAUGCUAAAAUAGGUAGAAAUUGUACUUCAGUAUUAGAAGACAAGGUCAGUAAUGCAGUAGUAAGCUUCGAAGACCAGAAACCAACAGUUGAAGUCUGCACUUCUAAAUUUGAAAUUGAGAGCAAGAAUGGUGUGAAUAGGGUGUUGAACAAUGCUAGUAUCGAGAUGAAACCAUCUUUUGUGGCAAAAUCUGAAAAGAUGGAGGCAAGUGACAAGGAAGAGCGUCUACCAACUAGUUCAAGUGGAAAUCCCAAUACAGACAAAGGUGGACAGUCUGAUGAAGCAAAUAUAAGUCUUGUUCAUCUGUCUGAAAAGACAAAAUCUGAUCAAGGAGCUGUUGAUGCUUCAGCUGAGGAUAAAGCCUGUGUGGAUACUGAUUUUACUACAAGAAAUCAGAAAAGUGAAACUACCGUUGAAAGGAAGGAUGUCACUGUGCAGAACUCUGGCUUGUUACUCAAUCAGAAAGAGAGACCUGGUUUUUCAAAUGCAGAAGUGCUGAAACAUGGGGAAUCUAGAGAAUCAAAUUUCUCUGCUGUUGAAGAAGAUAAAACAAAGGACUGUGGAUCCGCCACUCUGGAGACUUCUUCGGUCUGUGCUGCUGUUCCAGAUUCAGCUUCAAAGGUGAAGUUUGACUUAAAUGAAGGUCUUAUUUCUGAUGAAGGAAAAUACGGGGAGACAAUCAACUUUACAGGACCUGGAUCUCUAUCCAAUGUCCAUAUUAUGAACCCGUUACCUUUUGCGGUAUCCUCAGUUUCCUGUAGUCUUCCUGCCUCCAUUACAGUGGCUGCCGCCGCCAAAGGUCCGUUUGUUCCACCGGAGGAGCUAUUGAGGGUUAAAGGGGAAUUUGGAUGGAAAGGAUCUGCUGCCACAAGUGCAUUUCGCCCAGCUGAGCCCAGGAAAUCUCUUGAUAUGCCAUUAAGUUCCACAAAUAUCUCUCAUCCUGAAGCUUCUACCAGCAAGCACAGUCGUCCACAAUUAGAUAUUGAUCUGAAUGUACCAGAUGAAAGAACUUUUGAUGAAAUAAAUUCUCGAGAUUCUGCUCUAGAGUUGAUCUCUCCAUUGGACCAUAUGACUAAUCGUGCUGCACUGAAGAAUGAAGUAAUUGAUUCUCCUGCUGUUCGCUGUUCUGGAGGACUCGAUCUUGAUUUAAAUAGAGUUGAUGAACCUGGUGAUGUAGGGCAGUGCUCUGUGAGUAGCAGUAGUAGAUUGGAUGGUGUAGUUUUACCUUCCAAAACAUCAUCAUCCAUUGGCUUGCCAACUGGGGAGGUGAGGAGGGACUUUGAUUUAAAUAAUGGGCCUGGUGUUGAUGAUUCCAGCGCAGAACAGUUUUUAUUCCACGAUAAUCAUCAGGGAAGCAUGCGUUCCCAACUGCCUGCUUCUAGCCUCAGACUGAACAAUCCAGAAAUGGGGAAUCUUUCUUCUUGGUUUACUCCUGGGAAUACUUAUUCAACUGUGACACUUCCAUCAAUUUUGCCUGAUCGUGUGGAGCAGCUGCCAUUCCCAAUGGUCACACCUGGUGCACAACGAAUAUUGGGUCCUCCUGCUGCUGGUUCUCCUUUCACCGCGGAUGUUUACCGGAGUUCAGUAUUGUCAUCAUCGCCUGCCGUGCCUUACCCAUCCUCCCCUUUUCAGUAUCCUAUAUUUCCUUUCGGAACGAGCUUCCCACUUCCUUCUGCAACAUUUUCAGUUGGAUCAGCUUCUUUCGUAGAUUCUUCCUCUGGUGGGCGGCUUUAUACGCCCCCUGUAAAUUCACAGUUGCUGGGUCCCGUUGGCGCUGUGUCAUCUCAAUAUCCAAGGCCUUAUAUGGUUGGACUUCCUGACAGUAGCAGCAACGGUACCAUGGAUCACAAUAGAAAAUGGGGAAGGCAGGGUCUGGAUCUUAAUGCAGGCCCUGGAGUGGUGGACAUGGAAGGGAGAGAAGAGUCGGUUUCUUUGUCGGCAAGGCAACUCUCUGUUGCCGGUUCACAAGCAUUAGCAGACGAGCAUGGUAGAAUGUAUGCUGUACCUGGGGGUGUUCUGAAGAGGAAGGAGCCUGAGGGUGGGUGGGACAGUGAGAACUUCAGAUUCAAGCAGUCAUGGCACUAAGAUCUGCAAUCUGGUGAUUUUAUAAGGGAAGCGCUAGGACAUCAUGCAUUAAGAUUGCGUAACGCAAACUCUACUGGAGGAUGGACUUGGCUAACUCCUCAAACUCUCAGCUUCUGGCAUGCUCCUGUGGGUGGGCGGUAAGUGAGCAAAUUUGAUGUGUUCAGAGUCUCCGACCACCACCUCUUCAGCUUAUCAGUGUAGUUGGGAUUUCCAUGGUUUGCAAGCACUGCACUUUGGUCAGCUAUAUUCUCUGGGUGGAUGCAGAUGAGUUUUCCCUCUGUAGAUAUUUAACUGUUGGAAAGCUUGAAAUCUUUGAUGCCCAGGGACUGGGGAUAAAUCAAUGUUAUCCUGUCCAAAUUAUUGACAAUGGAGGUCCAAUUUCGAGACUGAAUCAAACGGAAAGCUUUUCUUUGUGCUUUGCUGUUAAUCAUCUUUCAUUGCUUCCCGUGUUCUUGGCUUUUCUCUGUCCUCCUUUGCCCAUUACAUAUGUAUACAGGGUUGACACCAAAUUUUGGUACUAAUGCUUUCAUCAGGCAUGUUUUAGUUGUUGUGGCUGCCAUUGUACCAUAAAUUAAAUCGUUCUAACGUUAGUUUGUAGUCUCAUUCACAGAUGAUAGAACUCUUGUUAAUGAUAUUUUCAAUGAUGGUGGGGUGAUGUGCUUGUUUUUCUUUCAAGCUACUAAUCUGAACCAACAGUCUUGUGAGCAACGAAAAGACAACUUCUGUUUUCUGAUUUGGAGAAAUUAAAUGGGUGGAGCUUUUGCAUGGGUUA